rnacentral:rRNA from 1 species
CCUACGGGUGGCAGCAGUGAGGAAUAUUGGUCAAUGGGCUUACGCCUGAACCAGCCAAGUCGCGUGAGGGAAGACUGCCCUAUGGGUUGUAAACCUCUUUUGUCAGGGAGCAACGCCGGCUACGUGUAGCCGGACUGAGAGUACCUGAAGAAAAAGCAUCGGCUAACUCCGUGCCAGCAGCCGCGGUAAUACGGAGGAUGCGAGCGUUAUCCGGAUUUAUUGGGUUUAAAGGGUGCGUAGGCGGAAUGCCAAGUCAGCGGUAAAAUCGCGGGGCUCAACCUCGCUCCGCCGUUGAAACUGGUCUUCUUGAGUGAGCGAGAAGUAUGCGGAAUGCGUGGUGUAGCGGUGAAAUGCAUAGAUAUCACGCAGAACUCCGAUUGCGAAGGCAGCAUACCGGCGCUCAACUGACGCUGAGGCACGAAAGCGUGGGGAUCGAACAGGAUUAGAUACCCUUGUAGUC